rnacentral:rRNA from 1 species
AGAGUUUGAUCCUGGCUCAGAGCGAACGCUGGCGGCAGGCUUAACACAUGCAAGUCGAGCGGGCGUAGCAAUACGUCAGCGGCAGACGGGUGAGUAACGCGUGGGAACGUACCUUUUGGUUCGGAACAACACAGGGAAACUUGUGCUAAUACCGGAUAAGCCCUUACGGGGAAAGAUUUAUCGCCGAAAGAUCGGCCCGCGUCUGAUUAGCUAGUUGGUGAGGUAACGGCUCACCAAGGCGACGAUCAGUAGCUGGUCUGAGAGGAUGAUCAGCCACAUUGGGACUGAGACACGGCCCAAACUCCUACGGGAGGCAGCAGUGGGGAAUAUUGGACAAUGGGCGCAAGCCUGAUCCAGCCAUGCCGCAA